rnacentral:rRNA from 1 species
CGGAGGGGCGUAGCGUUGUUCGGAAUUACUGGGCGUAAAGACGCACGUAGGCGGACUGGAAAGUCAGAGGUGAAAUCCCAGGGCUCAACCUUGGAACUGCCUUUGAAACUAUCAGUCUGGAGUUCGAGAGAGGUGAGUGGAAUUCCGAGUGUAGAGGUGAAAUUCGUAGAUAUUCGGAGGAACACCAGUGGCGAAGGCGGCUCACUGGCUCGAUACUGACGCUGAGGUGCGAAAGCGUGGGGGAGCAAACAGGAUU